rnacentral:rRNA from 2 species
AGAGUUUGAUCAUGGCUCAGAUUGAACGCUGGCGGCAGGCCUAACACAUGCAAGUCGAGCGGAUGACAGGAGCUUGCUCCUGGAUUCAGCGGCGGACGGGUGAGUAAUGCCUAGGAAUCUGCCUGGUAGUGGGGGACAACGUUUCGAAAGGAACGCUAAUACCGCAUACGUCCUACGGGAGAAAGCAGGGGACCUUCGGGCCUUGCGCUAUCAGAUGAGCCUAGGUCGGAUUAGCUUGUUGGUGAGGUAAUGGCUCACCAAGGCGACGAUCCGUAACUGGUCUGAGAGGAUGAUCAGUCACACUGGAACUGAGACACGGUCCAGACUCCUACGGGAGGCAGCAGUGGGGAAUAUUGGACAAUGGGCGAAAGCCUGAUCCAGCCAUGCCGCGUGUGUGAAGAAGGUCUUCGGAUUGUAAAGCACUUUAAGUNNNAGGAAGGGUUGUAGAUUAAUACUCUGCAAUUUUGACGUUACCGACAGAAUAAGCACCGGCUAACUCUGUGCCAGCAGCCGCGGUAA